rnacentral:lncRNA from 1 species
CAAAAAUGGGUUUAUUUAGGAUCAGCAAAGAAGUGCAAUUUGGAGUCCGCAACCACUGCACACACUGUGGAAGUCCGGAGCAGCAAGGGGAGGAGAAACUCUUAUAGACGGGAAGAGGAAGUUGGGAGGGUUACUGUAAACAAGGAGGCCAUUGGAGGAGACUUGGAGCUCCAAGUGUAGUGGCUUUUCAUUGGCUGAGCUUCUUGCUGGCUAAGAAGAGGAAGUAUUUCUUCUUCUGGUUGGACUGCGCUGUCAAUGACAACGUAGGGCGUGAGAGCUGCCCCUUUUGGCCUCCUGACUCCAUGUUAAUGAGGGAUCUUCUGAGCAAUGUUGAAUACCUGCAGUAACAGACGACAUCCUCGCCUCGUUUCUGACUUCAGUGGGAACGCGUCUGAUAUUUCACCUUCAAAAUCAUACUUACUUUUGUUUUCAAGAAUAUAUCCCUUGGUGCAGCAGGGAAAGCCUGACCCCUCACCCUGCCCCUGCAGUGACCUCAACCUCACCCAUGUGGACCACCCUCUAGGCUGCCCCCGACGCAGGCCCAUGAUCACCUCUCCAGGUUGACUGCUGACUAGCAGGAGAAGAUGAACCUGAAAUUGAAUGGUUAUUGCAGUCCAGUUUUUUCAGUCCAAAGUGGCUGUCUUUGUACGAGAAGGCUAGCAUCCAUUCUCAGCUAACCGGAAGCUGAUAUGCUGGACGUGGCCAGGCUUGAAUGCUCUGCGCACAUGCCUCCUGAAGAGAAUGAAAUGUACGCUGGACGUUCCCCAGAUGAGAUUGCCGUCCGUGUCCAGCACCAGGCAAAUUCUCCUCAUUCCUUUCACUUAGUCCUGGCCUCACGAUCCAGCAUUUUUAUAGGAGUUUUAAGGUUUUAUGUUUCUAUUAAAAUUUUCCUUAUUGGUAUAAUCCUACCCAGCAUAUUCUUUCUCUUUUCAACCUGGUGUUAGGGCUGUGAUUAUGAAAACAAUAAGACACCAAAUAGUAAAUCAACAUUUG